GGGGAAAAACACCCGAUCCCAUCCCGAACUCGGCCGUGAAAACCCCCAGCGCCCAUGGUACUGCGUCUUAAGACGCGGGAGAGUCGGUCACUGCCAGGU
rnacentral:rRNA from 1 species